UACGUAGGGGGCAAGCGUUGUCCGGAUUUAUUGGGCGUAAAGAGCGUGUAGGCGGCCAGGUAGGUCUGCUGUGAAAACUCGAGGCUCAACCUCGAGCUGGCGGCGGAAACCAUCUGGCUAGAGUCCGGAAGAGGAGAAUGGAAUUCCCGGUGUAGCGGUGAAAUGCGCAGAUAUCGGGAAGAACACCCGUGGCGAAGGCGGUUCUCUGGGACGGUACUGACGCUGAGACGCGAAAGCGUGGGGAGCGAACAGG
rnacentral:rRNA from 1 species